rnacentral:rRNA from 1 species
GAUGAACGCUGGCGGCGUGCCUAAUACAUGCCAGUCGAGCGAACGGACGAGAAGCUUGCUUUUCUGAUGUUAGCGGCGGACGGGUGAGUAACACGUGGAUAACCUACCUAUAAGACUGGGAUAACUUCGGGAAGCCGGAGCUAAUACCGGAUAAUAUUUUGAACCGCAUGGUUCAAAAGUGAAAGACGGUCUUGCUGUCACUUAUAGAUGGAUCCGCGCUGCAUUAGCUAGUUGGUAAGGUAACGGCUUACCAAGGCAACGAUGCAUAGCCGACCUGAGAGGGUGAUUGGCCACACUGGAACUGAGACACGGUCCAGACUCCUACGGGAGGCAGCAGUAGGGAAUCUUCCGCAAUGGGCGAAAGCCUGACGGAGCAACGCCGCGUGAGUGAUGAAGGUCUUCGGAUCGUAAAACUCUGUUAUUAGGGAAGAACAUAUGUGUAAGUAACUGUGCACAUCUUGACGGUACCUAAUCAGAAAGCCACGGCUAACUACGUG